rnacentral:rRNA from 1 species
GCGCACGGGUGAGUAACACGUGACUAACCUACCCUUGAGUGGGGGAUACCUAGGGAAACCUGGGCUAAUACCGCAUAAUACCUACGGGUCAAAGGAGCAAUUCGCUUUAGGAGGGGGUCGCGGCAGAUUAGUUAGUUGGCGGGGUAAUGGCCCACCAAGACAGUGAUCUGUAUCCGGCCUGAGAGGGCGCACGGACACACUGGAACUGAAACACGGUCCAGACUCCUACGGGAGGCAGCAGUGGGGAAUUUUGCGCAAUGGGGGAAACCCUGACGCAGCAACGCCGCGUGGAGGAUGAAGCCCCUUGGGGCGUAAACUCCUUUCGAUCGGGAAGAUAAUGACGGUACCUAUAGAAGAAGCCCCCGGUAACUUCGUGCCAGCAGCCGCGGUAAUACGAGGGGGGCAAGCGUUGUUCGGAAUUAUUGGGCGUAAAGGGGUGCGUAGGCGGCCUGACAAGUCUGAUGUGAAAUCUAUGGGCUCAACCCAUAGCCUGCAUCGGAAACUGUCGGGGCUUGAGUAUGGGAGAGGUGAGUGGAAU